rnacentral:rRNA from 1 species
GAAAGUAAGAAAGGGCGCAUGGCGGAUGCCUUGGCUCACGGAGGCGAUGAAGGACGUGAUAAGCUGCGAUAAGCCCCGGGUAGGUGCAAAUGACCUUUGAUCCGGGGAUUUCCGAAUGGGACAACCCGGCAGGCUGGAGGCCUGUCAUCACUACGGAUGUAGUGAGGCGAACGGAGGGAACUGAAACAUCUUAGUACCUCCAGGAAGAGAAAAUAAACUAAUGAUUCCCCCAGUAGCGGCGAGCGAACGGGGAAGAGCCCAAACCGGCGGCGUAGCGAUGCGCCUCCGGGGUUGUAGGACCACGCAGUCGUACUUGGAUUGUGAGAAGAAUGUUCUGGAAAGAACAAUCAUAGAGGGUGAUAAUCCCGUAUUCGAAGCAUGACGAGACGUAGUGGUAUCCUGAGUAACGCGGAACACGUGAAAUUCUGCGCGAAUCUGCCGGGACCAUCCGGCAAGGCUAAAUACUCCCGUGAGACCGAUAGUGUACGAGUACCGUGAGGGAAAGGUGAAAAGCACUCCGACGAGGAGAGUGAAACAGUUCCUGAAACCAUGCGCCUACAAGCGGUCGGAGCCGCGCGAGCGGUGACGGCGUGCCUUUUGCAUAAUGAACCUACGAGUUACCAUGUCUGGCAAGGAUAAGCGUCAUGAGCCGCGUAUCCGCAGUGAAAGCGAGCCUGAACAGGGCGUCGAGUCAGACGGGGUAGACGCGAAACCAAGUGAUCUACACUUGCCCAGGCUGAAGUCCGGGUAACACCGGAUGGAGGGCCGCACGGAUAAGCGUUGAAAAGCUUCCCGAUGAGGUGAGUGUAGGAGUGAAAGGCCAAUCAAACUUGGAGAUAGCUCGUACUCCCCGAAAGGCAUUUAGGUGCCGCGUGCGGCGUUGUCCGUGAGAGGUAGAGCGACCGGUAGGUCGAGAGGGCUUCACCGCCUGUCGAGACCUGACGAACUCCGAAUGCUCUCGGAUCGGAGCCGUGCAGUAAGGGGGCGGGUGCUAAGGUCCGUCCCCGAGAGGAGAAGAAUCCAGACCGCCGUCUAAGGUCCCGGAAUUCUGCCUGAGUUAGUCUAACGAAGUCCGGUCCCCGUGACAGCUAGGAUGUUGGCUUGGAAGCAGCCAUUCAUUCAAAGAGUGCGUAACAGCUCACUAGUCGAGGGUCCGGGCGUGGAUAAUAAUCGGGUAUAAGGCAGAUACCGAAGGCGCGGGAUAGCAAUGUAUAUUGAAAGUAUCGGUAGGGGAGCAUUCCAUCGGCGUUGAAUGGUGAGGGAAACUGAUCCUGGAGCUUAUGGAAAAGCAAAUGUAGGUAUGAGUAACGAUAAAAAGGGUGAGAUUCCCUUUCGCCGAAAGACCGAGGUUUCCCGGGCGAUGCCAGUCAGCCCGGGGUCAGUCGGGUCCUAAGCCCCAGCCGAACGGCGAAGGCGAUGGCAGAUGCGGUCAACAUUCCGCAACUCGCAUUAUCAGUGACGUGGAGACGGAGCAGUGACACUGCCGCGCCCUGACGGAACAGGGCGUUUAAGUGCGUAGGCUGUGACAGCGGCAGGCAAAUCCGCCGCUGGAGCUGAAACACGAAAGUACGGCUCUUCCUUCGGGAAGCGCCGAGCGCAGGUAACCAUACUCCCGAGAAAAUCCGCUAAACUUAAUGGUACUGCGACCCGUACCGCAAACGGACACACGUGGUCGGGUAGAACAUACUGAGGCGUUGAGAGAUUCAUGGUCAAGGAACUAGGCAAACUGACCCCGUAACUUCGGGAUAAGGGGUCCUCAUGGCGACAUGAGGCGCAGAGAAUAGGUCCAGGCAACUGUUUAACAAAAACACAGGGCUGUGCGAACUCGAAAGAUGAAGUAUACAGCCUGACACCUGCCCGGUGCCGGAAGGUUAAGAGGAGACGUCACCAGCGAUGGGAAGCGUCGAAUUGAAGCCCCGGUAAACGGCGGCCGUAACUAUAACGGUCCUAAGGUAGCGAAAUUCCUUGUCGGGUAAGUUCCGACCUGCACGAAUGGUGUAAUGAUCCGGACGCUGUCUCGACCAUGAUCUCAGUGAAAUUGUAGUAUCGGUGAAGAUGCCGAUUACCCGCGAUGGGACGAAAAGACCCCGUGAACCUUUACUGCAGCUUAGCACUGACCUCGGUCAUCCGAUGUGCAGGAUAGGCCGGAGGCUUCGAGGCGGGCGCGCCAGCGUCCGCGGAGCCGCCCUUGAAAUACGGCCCUUCGGCUGUCUGAGGUCUAACGCGCCUGUGGCGCGGACACUGCUUGGCGGGCAGUUUGACUGGGGUGGUCGCCUCCAAAAGCGUAACGGAGGCUUCCAAAGGUGCCCUCGGACCGAUCGGUAACCGGUCUGAUGGAGUGCAAUGGCAUAAGGGCGCUUGACUGGGAGGCAGACAUGCCGAGCAGGUGGGAAACCAGGGCAUAGUGAUCCGGCGGACGUGCAUGGAAACUCCGUCGCUCAAAGGAUAAAAGGUACUCCGGGGAUAACAGGCUGAUCCCCCCCGAGAGCUCAUAUCGACGGGGUGGUUUGGCACCUCGAUGUCGGCUCGUCACAUCCUGGGGCUGGAGAAGGUCCCAAGGGUUGGGCUGUUCGCCCAUUAAAGUGGCACGCGAGCUGGGUUCAGAACGUCGUGAGACAGUUCGGUCUCUAUCUAUCGUGGGCGCUGGAGUUUUGCGCGGUGCCGUCACUAGUACGAGAGGACCGUGACGGACAGACCUCCGGUCAGCCGGUUGUGCCGCCAGGUGCACCGCCGGGUAUCUGAGUCUGGAACGGAUAAGCGCUGAAAGCAUCUAAGCGCGAAGCCGUCCGCAAGAUGAGAACUCCUCACGAGGGCCGUCACAGACGAUGACGUGGAUAGGGCGCAGGUGUAAAGACGGCGACGUCAAAGCCGAGCGCUACUAAUUGCCCGAAGCUUUCUCCCG